GUCUGUCUUUCCAGUGGACAAAGGUUUAUUAGGAGAAGGAGACGAGGGAACCAGGAGAUGAGCAACGAGACAACCAAUCUGGACCAAGAGCCGGCAUUCCAAGCAGCCCGGACCUAAGCUGUCAAACCGAUCGCAGGAACCACAGCUGCACAAUUACGUUCAGUGCAGCUGUGGAGGCUGGAGAACUGUGACAACAGAGACCAUAGGACCACCUGGAGAGAAGUUGUCACCUGUGUCUAUGGAGGCUCAAUGCAAUAACAUCCUGCAGCUCUUCGCUCUCUCCAGCCUCUGGUCCAGACAGAGGGGAGCCUCCCA